rnacentral:rRNA from 1 species
AAAUUGAAGAGUUUGAUCAUGGCUCAGAUUGAACGCUGGCGGCAGGCCUAACACAUGCAAGUCGAACGGUAGCACAGAGAGCUUGCUCUCGGGUGACGAGUGGCGGACGGGUGAGUAAUGUCUGGGAAACUGCCCGAUGGAGGGGGAUAACUACUGGAAACGGUAGCUAAUACCGCAUAACGUCGCAAGACCAAAGAGGGGGACCUUAGGGCCUCUUGCCAUCGGAUGUGCCCAGAUGGGAUUAGCUUGUUGGUGAGGUAACGGCUCACCAAGGCGACGAUCCCUAGCUGGUCUGAGAGGAUGACCAGCCACACUGGAACUGAGACACGGUCCAGACUCCUACGG